AUAUUUUGAAAAAACUAAAAUUAUGAAUAAGUUUAAUUUACGGUAAACUAAAUAAUAGAAAUAGAUGUUUAUUGUUCAAUUAUAGAGUAAGUUUGAAUAAGUUUGAGAUAUGUUAUGACUAAAUUUUUUAAUUCCACUAUAAUAUUUUAGAUAAUAAUUAGGUUCAAAAAAAUAAAAUGAUUAAACAUGUUAGGAGUAGACAAAUAUAAAUUUAUUUUAAAAUUUAGAAGUGUCAAAUCAAAUUGGCUUUAAUAAUAUUUUGUGGAGGAGCUUCUCAACGAAGCUGCGUUCUUCAGUUUUAUAUUAUUAAGGUUUUGUUUAAAAUUGCGGGAAGAUUGCGUUACGUGUGGUAAACGUAUUCCGUACGUCAUAUUGCAUUUCACCGAAGAACGUAGAAGCAUAUUUCUAUAUACUUUUUUUUUAACUCUAUUUUAUCUAAUAGCGUUAGAUAGGCCUUAAUACCAUACUAUACCUAAAACCAACAUAAAACCC
rnacentral:lncRNA from 1 species